UAACCUGCCCAAGAGAUCGGGAUAACACCUGGAAACAGAUGCUAAUACCGGAUAACAACAGAUGAUGCCUAUCAACUGUUUAAAAGAUGGUUCUGCUAUCACUCUUGGAUGGACCUGCGGUGCAUUAGCUAGUUGGUAGGGUAACGGCCUACCAAGGCAUGAUGCAUAGCCGAGUUGAGAGACUGAUCGGCCACAUUGGGACUGAGACACGGCCCAAACUCCUACGGGAGGCAGCAGUG
rnacentral:rRNA from 1 species